AUUGAACGCUGGCGGCAUGCUUUACACAUGCAAGUCGAACGGUAACAGGUCUUCGGAUGCUGACGAGUGGCGAACGGGUGAGUAAUGCAUCGGAACGUGCCCAGUCGUGGGGGAUAACGCAGCGAAAGCUGCGCUAAUACCGCAUACGAUCUAUGGAUGAAAGCGGGGGACCGUAAGGCCUCGCGCGAUUGGAGCGGCCGAUGUCAGAUUAGGUAGUUGGUGGGGUAAAGGCCCACCAAGCCAACGAUCUGUAGCUGGUCUGAGAGGACGAACAGCCACACUGGGACUGAGACACGGCCGAGACUCCUGCGGGAGGCAGCAGUGGGGAAUUUUGAACAAUGGGCGAAAGCCUGAUCCAGCAAUGCCGCGUGCAGGAAGAAGGCCUUCGGGUUGUAAACUGCUUUUGUACGGAACGAAACGGCUCUCUCUAAUACAGAGGGCUAAUGACGGUACCGUAAGAAUAAGCACCGGCUAACUACGUGCCAGCCGCCGCGGUAA
rnacentral:rRNA from 1 species